GACGAACGCUGGCGGCGUGCUUAACACAUGCAAGUCGAACGAUGAAGCCGGAGCUUGCUCUGGUGAAUUAGUGGCGAACGGGUGAGUAACACGUGAGUAACCUGCCCUUGACUCUGGGAUAACUGCUAGAAAUGGUAGCUAAUACCGGAUACGACCCUCGGAGGCAUCUCCAGAGGGUGGAAAGAAUUUCGGUCAAGGAUGGACUCGCGGCCUAUCAGCUAGUUGGUGAGGUAACGGCUCACCAAGGCGACGACGGGUAGCCGGCCUGAGAGGGUGACCGGCCACACUGGGACUGAGACACGGCCCAGACUCCUACGGGAGGCAGCAGUGGGGAAUAUUGCACAAUGGGCGCAAGCCUGAUGCAGCAACGCCGCGCGAGGGAUGACGGCCUUCGGGUUGUAAACCACUUUUAGUAGGGAAGAAGCGAAAGUGACGGUACCUGCAGAAAAAGCACCGGCUAACUACGUGCCAGCCGCCGCCGUAA
rnacentral:rRNA from 1 species